rnacentral:rRNA from 1 species
AUUGAACGCUAGCGGGAUGCUUUACACAUGCAAGUCGAACGAGUGGCGGACGGGUGAGUAAUAUAUCGGAACGUGCCCAGUAGCGGGGGAUACCUACUCGAAACUGUGGCUAAUACCGCAAACUAUCGUAGCGGCCUAUAUGGGAUUAGCUAGUUGGUGGGGUAAAGGCUCACCAAGGCAACGAUCUCUAGCUGGUUUGAGAGGACGAACAGCCACACUGGGACUGAGACACGGCCCAGACUCCUACGGGAGGCAGCAGUGGGGAAUGUUGGACAAUGGGGGAAACCCUGAUCCAGCCAUCCCGCGUGUAUGAGAAGGCCUUCGGGUUGUAAAGUACUUUUGGCAGAGAAGCGGUAUCUGCAGAAUAAGCACCGGCUAACUACGUGCCAGCAGCCGCGGUAAUAC